rnacentral:rRNA from 1 species
CUGGCGGCGUGCCUAAUACAUGCAAGUCGAACGGUCUUUCUAUGGAAGCUUGCUUCCACUGAGAAGAUAGUGGCGAACGGGUGAGUAACACGUGGGUAACCUGCCCAUAAGAGGGGGGAUAACAUCCGGAAACGGGUGCUAAUACCGCAUAGUUUUCUUGAUCGCAUGAUUGAGAAAGGAAAGACGGCCUUUGUGCUGUCGCUUAUGGAUGGACCCGCGGCGUAUUAGUUAGUUGGUGAGGUAACGGCUCACCAAGACGAUGAUACGUAGCCGACCUGAGAGGGUGAUCGGCCACAUUGGGACUGAGACACGGCCCAAACUCCUACGGGAGGCAGCAGUAGGGAAUCUUCCGCAAUGGACGAAAGUCUGACGGAGCAACGCCGCGUGAGUGAAGAAAGGUUUUCGGAUCGUAAAACUCUGUUGUCAGAGAAGAACAAGUUGGAGAGUAACUGCUCCAGCCUUGACGGUAUCUGACCAGAAAGCCACGGCUAACUACGUGCCAGCCGCUGC